UGGAGACAUGCAUAUACAUGUACUAUGAGCACCUCCUAUUAAUCGAAAAUUAAUAUUGAUUUUCAAAAAAAAUGUAAAAGUGCGUUAUGUUUUUAAUGUCCUGGAUAACUUCCUUGUUCAACAGAGUGAAACAUCUGGUUGAUUAUAGGGCAAUGAAGAUAUUCAAUAAGUUGGAGAUUUUUAUAUUAUUCUUAUCAUCUGUAAAAUUAUCUUCGACAUUCGACAUAGGAGUUUGUUUCGAUGGAAAUCUGAAAUCGUGUUGCCCAAAUUACUAUCAAGUCAAUGAUAUAUGUAAAGAAUGUCCACCUGGUACAUUUGGUGAGAAAUGUUCCCAAAACUGCUAUUCAGGGUUUUAUGGGCUUUUGUGUUCGUCAAAAUGUAAUUGUAAAUCCAUCAACGAAACAUGUGACUCAAUCGUAGG